rnacentral:lncRNA from 1 species
AUGGUGACCCACCCUUAACCUUAAUCCGUGAAGCAGUCAGCUGGGAAGGGCUCACAUCAUCCCCAUCCCUGACUUGAUCAGAAAGUGGAGGGUGAGGAGCCCUUCCUAAUAGUGCUAAGCCCAGAAAAAGAUGUCAGGGUUCAAGAGAGUUGGGGGGGGGGGUUGGGUGUGGCCAACUGGGUACCAGAAGAAUCAUGACCCUGAUUCAUUUACUCAUUCUACAAACAUUUCCUGAGCCCUUCCCUCAUGCCAGACCAGCACAGGGUACUGGGACACCCCAAGAAUGACACACAAUCUCUAUGGGAAAGGCAGACAGGUAAACAAUGACCACACCAUGUGUUCAGCCCUGCCUUAAGCCGGAAAUUCCAGCUGAAGAACCAAAGGAGUUGCCUCCUCCAGAGUCCAGAAGACUUCCUGGAAGGGGUGGUGCCAGAAUUGCAUUUUGAAAGGCACAUGGGAGAAAGCUCACUAAUGAAGGAAUCGGCAUUUCAGGUGGAAGGAAUAUGUGUGCAAGGACCUGGAGGUGGAGAAGAAGGUGGGGUGGCUCAGAAGAGCAAGAAAAGUUAGAGAAUAACCUGGGCCAGACUAGAAUGACCUGCUAGUCAACCUAAGGAUUGAGAGAAGGGGAGGGCUGUUGAAGGAUUCCAAGCCUCUGAAAGAAAGGUCAGAUUUACAUUCUUUAUAGAUUCAAUCUUCUUCCUGUUCCUGCCCCAAGUUUCUCUGGGAAUGCCUGGAUGGGAAGUGGAGAGACAGACAAUAGGAACCAGGUAUACUUCAAGUUGGUUAAGAUGAUCUCUACUUCCUUCCAUUAUACCUAAGGUCAAAGAAACCUGGCUGUACCGGUUCCUUAGUAGCAUGAUUUUGUGCAUGUGACUGACCAUCAAUUUCUUCAUCUAUAAAAUGGAGAUAAUAAUGAGGUUUAUGGUGAGGCUUCGAUGAAAUUAUUUGUCCACUCUUGUUUAACACAUAUUUGACACUAUGUGGCAGGCAUUGUGCCAGGUACUAGAGUUAAAGCACUGAAUAAGACAGGCAGGUUCCCUACUCUUUCUCUCUCCUGAAACAUACAUUCCAGUGGAGAAGACAGACAAUAAACAAACAAACAAAUGAGAUAAUUACACAUUGUGUUAAAGUGUUGUGAAGGAAACAAACAGUGGGACAUGAGAGAGGGUAACUGGAGGUGGGGUAGAGGAAGGUGCUGCUUUCCUCAGCAAUGCCAGAGAAGCUCUGAAGAAACCUGAAGGUUUGGAAUUCAAAAAAAGAACAUUCCAGGUACUAGAAAUUGCAUCUAAAAAGUGAGAGGCAAAGAAUUUAGCCUGAGUCCACUAAGAUGCUAAGCUUCCA